rnacentral:miRNA from 1 species
CGCUUACGCCCAAUAUGACGAAGACGAUCGAAGUCACGUCCAUAGAGGAGUUCAUAGCACUGCUAUCAACGACUCCUGUUCUAAUAGCGGACUG